rnacentral:rRNA from 1 species
GUGCCAGCCGCCGCGGUAAUACGGAGGGUGCAAACGUUGCUCGGAAUCAUUGGGCGUAAAGCGCGCGUAGGCGGCUUGACAAGUUGGAUGUGAAAGCCCUGGGCUCAACCCAGGAUGUGCAUUCAAAACUGUCUGGCUUGAAUCUCGGAGGGGGUCAGGGAAUUCCCGGUGUAGAGGUGAAAUUCGUAGAUAUCGGGAGGAACACCAGUGGCGAAGGCGCUGACCUGGACGAUGAUUGACGCUGAGGCGCGAAAGCGUGGGGAGCAAACAGGAUUAGAAACCCCGGUAGUCC